rnacentral:lncRNA from 10 species
GUGUCUUGCAGUUGCUCUUCUCGAGGAGUAUGUCUGUGGUGUUGUCUGUAUUUCCUGAAUUUGAAUGUUGGCCUGCCUCGCUAGGUUGGGGAGGUUCUCCUGGAUAAUAUCCUGCAGAGUGUUUUCCACCUUGUUUCCAUUCUCCCCAUCACUUUCAGGUACACCAGUCAGACGUAGAUUUGGUCUUUUCACAUAGUCCCAUAGUUCUUGGAGGCUUUGCUCCUUUCUUUUUACUCUUUUUUCUCUAAACGUCUCUUCUCAUUUCUUAGACAAAUGGCUAACUACAAUAACCAGUGUAGAGAAGUCCUUAAAUGACCUGACGGAGCUGAAAACCAUGGUAUGAGAACUACAUGACAAAUGCACAAGCUUCAGUAGCCGAUUCAUUCAACUGGAAGAAAGGAUAUCAGUGACUGAAGAUCAAAUGAAUGAAAUGAACAAUCCUCCCCUCAUCCAUGGUUUCAUUUUCUAUGGUUCCAGUUACUCAUGGUCAACCAUGGUCAGAAAACAGGACAAACUGAGAGUAAAAGAUGCAGGAAUAAAACACAGAAAUCAAAAUAAAGGGUUUACUGCUGAAAAAUCCGCUUGAACAAGCCUGUUAAUGUGAUCUUCCUGAAUGAAGCCAGCUUACCCCUAGGCCUCCACUGUCCCUCAGGAAAGAGAACACGAAAACUGGAACUCUCUGCAGAAAGGAGGAUCCCAAAGAAGGGGCCAAGCUGUACAUUUAUCAAUCAGGAAAGCCACUCCACCCUCCAUGGCAGCCCCUACAAUUUGAAACAAGUAUUCUUCCUAACAUAACACAUUAAUUCAUGAGUUUAUCAGUUCAUUUCAUUUUUACUUUGAGAUUUUUGUGAAUAACCAUAGAAAAAUCUAUUUCACCUGGCAAUAAAUAGGAAAAGGCACAGCAUAAUGUUUAAAUACAGAGAAUAUUGUUACAUGUAAGAUGUUGAUUGAAUGUUCUAAAUACAAUUUGAAAACUGCGUGAGAGGAGGAAAACGUAUAUUCAGAAGGACUUAGGUGAAUCCAGAUGAAUAUUUUCAUGACAGGAUGUUGGCUAUUGAUAUGAAGAAAGUAGAGGAAUAGACUUGCUAAAAGUUAGAGGAGUCUAGUUUAUCUUCCAAGAAGCUUUGCAACCCUGUAAUACUGUAGAAAUCACAAAUUUGGCAAUAAUUUUAAGAUAAUUUAUGUUCAUUUUUUAUGGAAUGCCAUGUUUAUCUUUUUAUAUAUGACAUUUUCUGGUCAGUAGUAAUAUAUAUAUCCUUUAUUAAAAUUGGAAAAUAAAUACAAACAUUUUAUUUAUUUAUUGGUUAAAAAAUUAUUAUGCUCAUUCUUUUUUUUUUUAACCAGUAAGGAUCUGGAUAAAGAAAAACAUUUUAGAAAACCACUUGUAGAGUACCAUGAACCAGUCUCUCUUCUCCAUUUUAAAAAAUUUAUUGACUCACUUUUUUUCCAUAACUUUUUGAGAUAUUAUUUCAACCACUUUGCAUUUAGAGAAAAAGAGUCAGAGAGUGAUUAAGAAAUCUGCCCAAUGCUAUACUGAUAGAAGCUGGGAGAACUGGGAUUUGAGCUUACAUAGGCUAGUUCUAGCAUUUGUGAAGUUCUCGCCUAAUAAAAAUUAUCUGUAAUCAUAACCAGAGCAAGUCAUUUCUAACCUCCUGUCUAUAGACACGCGGAUACAUUUGUAAUGUUUUUGUUUGUUUGUUUUUAGCACGACAGAUCAAUUCCUGCUGGCAUUAUAGUUCUUUAACUAUCAUAGCUUCUCUGAUUUUUCAACACAUCUGUCAUCCGUAUUCUGCAGGCAUAGCCAACUCUGUCAGUGUCUCCUCAGGCAAUCAGAAUCAACAGACAGAAUGUAGGACAGAAAACUGGCUGCAAACAUGUUGGAAGGGCUGGAGGAGCGAAAGAGGGAAGAUCUGUUACCUAGAGAUAGUAACUUCCAGAAGUUACCACUAUACUAGUGCAGGAGAAGCAGAAAGGAAGAUGCUGCUACCCAGAGCCCACAGUCAUUGUGCCCCUGAUGCCGCUGGAACCCCACUGCAGCUGCUUUACAGGAAGCAGGGAAUUAGCGCUCUUGCUGAUGCUACAGGUAUCCAGGAUCCAAAAGUCAUCAGCCGCUGUCCCUGUUGCAGCCUAGGGAAACUGUCCCACUGAGGUUGUUGGGGUACCUGCUACUGCAUCUACUGUCUGAACCAUGUUGCCUGAGCAGAUGUCCAGGGCUCAGGCUUGCCUGCUGCUGUUACUGCUGCCACCAUGUUUAUCAGAGCUACUUCAAGAAGAGAAGAAAUCCUCCUCAUUUCCAGUUUUUUCCAGUGCCUCCCAUUGCUUCCCAGAAUGCCAAAUUCUCUUUGAGAGACAGCUGAAAGGAAGGUUUGGAAAAGACUCUGGUGUAAGCAGAUUCUGCUUCCCUGCAAUAGGGGGAAAGCAUAGGGUGGAACUGGAGCUGAGAGCUAAUCACGAAUGAGCAAAUCAGUCUUCAAGACAUUUACCUUUCCUUGAAACGUUUCCCUUCUUUUACCGUGUUUUCCAUGUCAUUAUUUUUCCACAAUUCUGCAUCAUAUUCUGUUAACUAUUAAUGCCCUGGAUAAGUUUAUUUGCUCUUUCUUAGGGUUAAUUUUUCUCCUUUUCUUCGAAGCUUUAGUUUGCAGGUUCAGCUUGUGUGGGAAUUUUCAUCUCCCUCCUCUUCAAGACUCCUUGGAUAUCAGUUUUUUGGUUGCCUUCACCAACUCUCCCCCCACCAUCUCUAGACCAGGGCAUGGUCUUAGUUGGUGGCUUGGACUCCUGUGGCUUGGAGUCUUUGGGGAUAUUAGAGAUCCAGUCACUGAGCUGGCAAAGGGAACACUGUCCUUGCUUCCAGCUUUAUGAAGAACGCUUUGCUCUGUCACCCCACGUAAAUAAUCAUGUUAUUCAAGGAUAAUGAAUGCAGCCACCAUGUAAUCAUCACUGACUCCAUGGCCAUGAGAAAAGAGACCUAAGAAAUGAUGCCCAUCCAGAAGAGUGAAGACUUCCUGAAAAUGUUCUUUUAACCUAAGAUGUAGGUUAAGAGGAGUGAAAAAAUGUUCUGUUUCUGACUGAUGAUGGAGCAACAAAGAUCCUAAGAGCGAUCCCGCAAUUCAUUCAUCUUGAAUAGACUCAUAGAGCUUCAAGAGUGGGCUUCUGAAGCCCACUCCAACUCCAUUCUUGUUCCUUGGUCCCUCUGGAGCUGGUCUGGCCCCUAAGGAUGUAUGUUUCUUAUUAAUAACACUGAGCAGUUAGGAAGCAGAUGUGCCUCUCCAGGGAAACUCACAAGUGUCCACUGACCUAGUAUCUGCGGAGAACCAUAGCAGUUGUGGUCUCUCUCCCCAGCUUCAAGCAAGGGCAACUUUUCCCUGUGUCUGGUUCUUUUGCUGUCACCUGAAGCCACAGAAAAUGAUCUGAACCUGCUCAGUCCCUGGACAUAUCUGGGGAAUACAAAGUCUCAGAGUCGCUCUCUAAGAAUUGCCAGCAUGUUCUAGAGAUUCUUUAGAUGCAUAGCUGCAUGGAGCAAAACAGGGUCAGGGGAUGUGUGCCGAGGCCAAGGUCUUCUCUUAUGUUUCAAAAAUAUUAACAUUUCAGGCCUGUCUUCUUUUAAAGGAUAGCUCAUGUAUAUGAUUUUUUAAAAAAAAAUCUACCAAAUCAAAUAAAGAAGUCCUGGGAGUUCACCCGGUGUUUUCUACAGAACCAAGGUAUUCAUAUUGAGAUCCUUCAAUAUAAUCAGCUAUGUGACCUUGGUUAAGUUAAUUAAUGCCUCUGAAACUGAGGUUCCUCAUCUGUGAAAUGGAGAUAUUCAACAAAGCACCCUGUGGGGAUUAGAUGAGAUUGCACAUCUGACUGCCUAGAGUAUAGUAAGGGGUCACUGUUUCCUCUUCACUCCUCAGGAAAAUUUGAUUGAACAAGGAUAGAAACUUUGAUUCUAGGGACAGAAGGUCUUCAGAAGUCUUUGAGGCCAGAGGGCCUGUCAUAGAACUGCAGUGUAGGUUCAUUAAAACGCUGUCAUCCUAAUGUUUAUCCACAGUAUCUAAUAGAUUUAAAAGGAAGACAAUAUGGCACAGACUAUUUCGGAAACCUAUGCCCAUUCUGCCAAGAGGAUAUCGCUAUUGGUGGUCAGACUAUUUCACUUAUAAGGUUUCUUUUUUCCUUAAGUCAUAAAGAUUAACAUUUACUAAAAAUUUGAGGGUCCAUUAAUGGACUCCCACAUGGCUUUCCUCUUUCCUUUGAGCUGGAUUCAUUUUCACUGAGUCCCGAGUCCUGCACAUCUGACAAUUGCUUCAGACCUUGGACAUGCUUGAAUUAUUUUAUGCAAAUCAUUUGAAAAGGCAAAGUACCACUGUUCUUUCUUGAGUUUCUUCGUAAACUGGUUUCUAAUUUAUCUGCUGCUUUUUCUCGAUCCAAUUUGUGCCUAUGUCUUACUAUAGAUUCUUUGGAAAUAAAGAAAUAAAGAAUAUAUCUGUAGCUAUUUUGUUAAACUAAGAAUGUUUUAAAAUAUUUUAUUGUAAAA